CCGCUGGAGCCGUGAGCCGUGUCUUUUGGAGAUGGCAACAGAAGUACUGAAAACCCAAGCGGAUGGGAAUUGCCCCGUUCUUCCAGGUCAACGUCGGCGGAAUGGUGUUCUUCUAUGCCAAAAUGAAGCACCGCAGUAACUACAA
rnacentral:lncRNA from 1 species